rnacentral:misc_RNA from 1 species
AGGAAAGAGAAAGUAUUAAAAACUUUUGUUUCCGCUUUUGAUUGAAUUUGUGGACAAAAUAUGAAAGCAGAUUUGUGUGUCUUUGUUGUUCUAAGCACAGUUUACUUGCUGUCAAGCUGUGUCCACGCUGGCGAUAAAAUGCCGUCCCAUAUUGUAGUAUGUGCAUCAGAUCACAACACAUACGUCAGUAUACGUUUGAUGAGAAAAACUGCUCGUGACUUCAAUCAAAAGAUUACGAUUGUUCAUAAGGGAUCUUGCGAUCCAAAAUGUGCACAAGUUUGCUCACUAGAGUUGAAUCCUCAAUGUGGUACAGACGGCGAGACGUAUCCUAAUCCGUGUUCCUUUAAAAUUGCUCAAUGUGAAAGUGAUGGAGGAAUUAGACUGGCCCAUCAUGGACCGUGUGUGGAUGGAAAAUGAAAAGUAAACAAGAUUGAAGAAGAUUUGAUGUCAUAUGUUUAGUACAAUUGAUGUGUAGUUUUUGAAGCAUGCUGUAAUCUUUCGUUUGUUA